UACAGAGGGGGCAAGCGUUGUUCGGAAUUACUGGGCGUAAAGGGCGCGUAGGCGGCCUGUUAAGUCGAACGUGAAAUCCCCGGGCUCAACCGAGGAACUGCGUCUGAUACUGGAAGGCUUGAAUCCGGGAGAGGGAUGUGGAAUUCCAGGUGUAGCGGUGAAAUGCGCAGAUAUCAGGAGGAACACCUAUUGCGAAGGCAGCUCGCUGGGACGUAACUGACGCUGAGACGCGAAAGCGUGGGGAGCAAACAGG
rnacentral:rRNA from 1 species